AAAAAAACAACGCGCCUCUAUUGUUGAGGGUGGCUUGUACCUGGGCCGCGAAGUGCGGCGGAGCUGUGACCCGCGGGAGGGAUGGGGGACAGGACCGGACCCGACCGGGGGAGGGUAAUGCGUGGAGAAGCAGCGUCGCUUAUACAAGAUGUUGAUGGAAUUUACUAUAUUAUUAAAGGAAAAAAAAAAUCCCCUUUCAAGAAUAAAGUGUAUCAACUUACAACACAACAGACGGCAGAGGGAUAAGUGAAACAGACAAAAGACAAACAAGAUAAUAAUCUGUUUCCAAUCAGUUAAGCCCUGUAGAAUUUGUAAUACGCGGUUUGCAUAUUCCCCCUGUGUUUUGUAAUUAAUUAUCUAUCUGUUCGGAUGCUCCGCCGCCGACUUUGUAGAUAUUUCCAACUAUUUUUGGGAUUGUAGGCGGCGACCUACGCGGUGAAAAGGAGCGCUGAGGAGCGGGGAGCGGGGCCCGGCUCCGCGGAUCCUCCCGGCCCGAGGAUGCCGAGCCCGGGCGCCGUGGGAGGCGUCGGCUCCGCGCCGCUCCGCGCUCCUCCGGCGGGCGAGGCUGCUCCCCCCGCGCUCCCCUCCUUUCCCCCGGUAAGAGGGGGGACGGGGCAGGUUUUAACAUUAAACAAACCCAGCAAGCAUCUCCUCGCCGGGCCAUAGGCGUUUCUGAGUGACUGCGUUACAAAUUGUAAAUUUAAAUAGCUCACAGGAUUCAUUACCUCCCGCGUCUGAUUUCACCCAGCCGUGAAAAAUUGUCCUGGUGUACCACUGAGAAAGGGUUUGCUGCAAAGAGCCACAGUCUAAUCACCAGCUUUCUCUCGCCAACAAAAGUGUAAUUAUUUUGUUUUGGGUGUAAAUAUAACCCACG